UUUCUCUCUCUCUCUCCCCCUGCCCCCUGCUUCCCCCUCACUCUCUCUCUAAAACAAAUUUUAAAAAAUGCUCCCUGUUUCUCUAUAUUUUUGUAGAUCAGUAGUUAUAUUGAGAGGGUAAUGUUUGUAUUUUGAAAAUCCACCAAUACAGUGAAGUAAAGGAAAGAAAAGUAAGACUGUAGAUUUAAAUAUUUUUCAGAUGCAAAUGAGAUAUAUAGUUUAAUUAAUAUAUUUUAUAGAUGACGAUACUGAGAUUGAAAGAUAUUUUAAAAGUCAUAAAGCUUGUAGAUAGCAUAGUUUCUGAUAGGAUCCAAGUGUCCUAAAUAGAGAAAACAGAAAUGGAAAUUUCAGGACAUAGAAAAUGUCCUGCACUUGAUGAAGAACAAUAGGAUAUAUUAGCAAUCAAGUAGUGGUUUCAAUUAGAUUUUUGUCUUCCUUACUAUAUAUAUAUAUAUAUAUACUACAUUAAGUUAGGCAAGUUGUUGGUUUCCUGAACCAUAGCAGACAUCAGAAUAGUUACAACUUUUUUUUCAUAGCAAAAAUAUGGAGAUACAAAUAUUUAGCCAAACAAGGUUUAAUCGGGCAUUAAAGGAUGCAGCAAAUUCAUCUGGACUAUAGGUGCCUAGAUGGAAUGUAGCCCCUGUCCUUUAGACAUGCAUGUAUGUCCUUUAGACAUACCCUUGGGGGUAUCUAAACUGGCAGAAGCCUGAAGACCUUCUUCAGUGGGUUUGCCUUAGAGGCCAGAAACACAGGAUUGUUAGAUUGUGAGCUGUAUGAGGGGGAAGGCUGCUACCUAUAGCUCCAGGUACAGGUUUUGUUUCUGUCAUUCUGCCCCUGCUAAUGUAUUUAUAAAAGGAAAUCAUGUGUGCUAAGUAUUGUCACCUAAUGAUUGACUUGUCACUUAACACUGAUAGAAUUUCUCCUUGUAGGUUUCCUACUGAAAUAAAGAAAUAUCUUAGCUGAAUAAUCAUUCAGAAAGUUGGCCAUCCUCAAUUAUCCCCAUGGGUAUGAAAAUACCCCCCCAUGGAACCAUGUUUUUCUCCUUUAUCAAUGCAGAGGCAUACAAACUGAAAACAUCUGCGGCCUCUAGUUCUGAUGACACCUGUGCUUUCUCACCAAGUGAAAAAUACAUGCCAGUGUCAUGGGACACAAAAUAAAAAAGUCAAGGACCAUUGCUGUAAAGGUGAACACUGGAAUUUGAAAGGUCAAAAAGUCCAUGGUUCCAGAUAUUUUCCCCGAACAACUUAGAAUGUAAGACUAAAAAUGUCAAUGAUUUAUGUUAGUGUUGCUUCCAAAAACAAACAAACCCUGUCAAAAGUAUAAAUAUUCACUUAAAGCUCCUUGUCAUUGUUUGUAUCACAAUAACAUUAUAGGGAAUUUCAUAUUGAUAAGAUAUUAUAGUUUUGACCCCUGGGGACCCAGAAAGUAAAAAAAAAAAAGAUUGAAAAAUGAGAUAGUCUUAUAGCCUGAGUUCUCCCUGUUGACAUGAGAGAUGUUCAGGUAAUUGGAUGGUAUGGGGUGUUGUAUAAGCUGGCUUAGAUACAGCUGGUAAAUGGCUGGCAAAAGUUUAUUAUAAAGACAAGGUAAAUGGGUAAUUUUCAUCACAUUUGCUUCCUUCAUAUAUCACUGUUAUCUAAAUCCAGGCUUUACCUUUCUAGGAUCCCUUUAGUUAAUCAGAGCUGACUUCAUCGACAGCUUGCUCUGGUUAAUUACUGAAGUGUUUUAACUGAAUACCCCAAGGAAUUGAUGUACUCAACCACCACUUCAAGGCUCAGAACAUGAGAAAUCUUGGCAGAAUGCUGGAGACAGUUUAUCAAUAUCUGAAGUAUUUAUUAUUUUAAAAACCUACACAGAGUCUAUAGAUACAUGGGUAAUGACACUACAGUGUUUAAACAAUAUGAUUUAACUGAAGAAUUCUUAAAAAAACUGAAUAUCAUUCUCUUGCUAAUACUAAGGCCAUGUACUUUGCCUUGUACUUUGAUUAACUAUUAACAUAGGCCUUUUACAAGAUAAAACUCAAGUGAUAUUUCAUCCAGCAAUUCUUAGAAUUUUAUAUUAGUUUUAAAUUUUUCUUUAUUCUGGGCAGCCAGGUAGCUCAGCGGUUUAGCACUGCCUUCAGCCCAGGGCGUGAUCCUGAAGACCCGGGAUGGAGUCCCACAUCAGGCUCCCUGCAUGGAGCCUGCUUCUCCCUCUGCCUGUGUCUCUGCUUCUCUCUCUCUCUCUGUCUCUGUCUCUGUCUCUCAUGAAUAAAUAAAUAAAAUCUUAAAAAUAUAUAUAUUUUAUUUUUUUCUUUAUUCUUUUUAAAGAUUUAUUUAUUUGAGAGAGAGAGACAGAGAGAGAGGGAGCAGGAGUGGGGGGGAGGGGUAGAGAGAGAAUGCCAAGCAGACUCCUCGAGAUGACUGAAAUGUGGCUGGAUCUCACAACCUAUGAGAUUGUGACCUGAGGUGAAAGCAAGAGUGGAACACUUAACUAAGCCACCGAAGCACCCCAAUAAUUCUUAGAACUUUAAUAUUAUACAUAAACUUUAUUUUUAUUUAUUAUUAUUAUUAUUUUAUUUAUUUAUUUAUUUAUUUUUUAGCUAGUUAAUGUUUUAUUGAAGAAAACUUGAACUUACUAUUAGCCUUCAGGAGAAAAUGGGUUACACUUGGCUUAGUUAGUCAUCUUUGUAAUGUACUUCUUCUUUUCCUUUUUUUUUUUUUUUUUGUAAUGUACUUCUUUUGUAAAAACUGUUAAACAUGAUUUUUAUCCCUGAAACCGAAGUGUUCUUUAAAAUUAACAGAAAUAAUUGGAGAACAAUAUGAGG
rnacentral:lncRNA from 1 species